UAGGGAAUAUUGGUAAUGUGCGAAAGCGCGAACCAGCAACGCCGCGUGCACGAUGAAGGCCUUCGGGUUGUAAAGUGCUUUUAGAGAGGAUGAGGAAGGACAGUACCCUCAGAAUAAGCCUCGGCUAACUACGUGCCAGCAGCCGCGGUAAAACGUAGGAGGCGAGCGUUAUCCGGAUUUACUGGGCGUAAAGCGCGUGCAGGCGGAUUGGAGAGUUGGAUGUGAAAGCUCCCGGCUUAACUGGGAGAGGUCGUUCAAUACUUCCAGUCUUGAGUGCAGUAGAGGGCAGUGGAAUUCCGGGUGUAGUGGUGAAAUGCGUAGAUAUCCGGAGGAACACCAGUGGCGAAAGCGGCUUUCUGGACUGUAACUGACGCUCAGACGCGAAAGCUAGGGUAGCAAACG
rnacentral:rRNA from 1 species